AAAACGUGAACAAAUGUGAAGCUGCAGGUGGUCCUCCCUCCCAGCCCCCAUGAGGCAAAGUUGAAUGACAAUGCCCAUCGCAUGGUGGCUGACCUGCUCAUCUGUGACUGCUGGUAAUACGAUUCCUACAGACAUUACCAAUUUGCCAUGUAUAAGCUGCGCGAUGCUGCAUUCAGUGGGAGGAGUGAGAAAUUCGAAGCAGACAGACACCGAGACACAGGUCAGUUGGAGUGAGUUUAUUAGAAGUUAGAAAGACACAAGUACACAGAUCACUCAACACAUAGAGAUUAGUAGAGAAAAGCAGAACUGCCAAAAUUCCACACACAGACUACAGAGCCAAUGCUACUGGAGCGUGGCGCUGAGGGGGGCGCCGGGCCCGGGGCAGCCUCGCCAGGCCUCUGGGUACAUGUGGGAGUGGCUCAUGCCCUAUUCUUACAGCCUGGAGGUGUCGACGGGCACCAUCAUGCCAUUGCAACAACACCUGUGGGAGGCUCGGAACUACCUCUUAUCAAAGUGAACAGCUAAUCGCUCUUAACUAGUAAGCUCAUGUAUUACACAGUAAGUGGUUUUUAUUAAUACAAUUUAUAUUACUAAGUACAUAUCUGGCAAAGCUACAAGUAUACAGAGAUGAAGAACCCCCCAAAAA